GACGAACCGUGCGAACGUUGUUCGGAAUCACUGGGCAUAAAGGGCGCGUAGGCGGCUUAUCAAGUCAGGGGUGAAAUCCGGCAGCUCAACUGUCGAAGUGCCUUUGAUACUGAUGAGCUAGAGGGAGAUAGGGGUAUGCGGAACUUCCGGUGGAGCGGUGAAAUGCGUUGAUAUCGGAAGGAACGCCGGUGGCGAAAGCGACGCGCUGGGCCCUUUCUGACGCUGAGGCGCGAAAGCCAGGGGAGCGAACGGG
rnacentral:rRNA from 1 species